CAAAGAUGGCGCUGACAUCCAGCCUUGUCUGGAUAUAAACGACUUACUGCGCAUGUGCAGGCUUGUCCCCUUGCUAGGGCUCCCUCUAGUGGUGAACAGCGGUACUGCACAUGUGCGGUUUAUGCACCAGGUGUUAGUUGACCGUUAAUAUGCUAAUGAGGUGAUUCAUUCUCCGCCAAUCCCUGGAGGACAAGUAGUGGGGUGAUCCAUGCCCCACCAAUCCCUGAGAGAUAAUUAGCAUACUGUUGUGUAUAUAAGUCGAGCGACUUUGCUGCUCGAAGUCCCUGCUCAGAAGAGCUGUAACACUGAGAAGAGCUGUAACACUAAGAAGAGCUGUAACACUGAGAAGAGCUGUAACACUGAGAAGAGCUGUAACACUAAGAAGAGCUGUAACACUAAGAAGAGCUGUAACACAGUAAAGGCUUGCUCGCAGAAGAAUCCUGUUGCCGCGAGUCGUUCUUGCUGGCGGGACAUUGGGCGCGCGACAAGUGGUGCCAAAACCCGGGAACCAACAUCGCCGGUGCCGAGGGGACCCUUCAGUGUGCUGAAGAGGAUUCAGAACUGCAAGAAGGUAAAUUAAAAGGUAAGCUUCGAGAGGCAUGCCCCUUUUUGGAAGAGAGCAUGUCAGAAACGGAGCAGAGUGAGAAAUUAGGCUUCCGAGAGGCAUGCCCCUUUUUGGAUUUAAGAGAGCAUGUCAGAAACGGAGCAGAGUGAGAAAUUAGGAGCGCGCAAAAAGAAAAAGGUUACUAAAACAAAAGUGAAAGAGAUACAAAAGGCGGAAGAAACACCGGAGGAAAAAAUAGGUAUGCCCCGGAGGAUGAAGUACAAGUCAUCCGGAGAGGAUACUUUGUAUCCAUUAAAAGAAUUAGAAGCCUUAGAACUGGCUGGCAGUGACUCUGAGCAAGAGUUGUCAGAGUCGGAGGAGGAGGAAUUAGAGGAAGAGGCAGCCCUAUAUGAGGAAGAAAGAUAUGGGCCUAGGUGGAGAGCCACUGUAAAGAAACCUAAAGUUAUGGAUCCUUUGUGGGCAAGGCUGGUAAUUUUGUUUCUUUUUUUCUUUGUGUGGGAUAGAGAAGCCACAGACGGCAAGCUUAAGCCCGGACCAAAACCUCUUUGGCAAAUGGUCCCUGCCUGCUUAUAGGAUAAACGAUGUGAGGAAGCCCUUAGAGCCGUUAGGACAGGUCAGAGGGUCCUUGCAGAGCAACAAGAAAGUAUGUCAGAGGGAGAAAAGGUCUCGAAAGAAAAAAAGAAAAGAAAAGGAGAUAAAAGGAACAGAGAGAAGGCAGAGAUAAAAAAUGGGGUCAGUGCAGCUUUUGUUGUGGCUCAAGUUGAGGCUAUUGCUAGGUAUGUGAUUAGGCUCUGGAAACCUCACAGAGUCAUACUGAUCAGAUUUGAUAGAGGUAGACCGCCUGAAAAUUUAUUCAGGAGAAUCAAACAAAAAGAUAAACUUGAGUGUGCCUACUUGGAUUCCUGGUCUCAAGGAGAUUUAGCAAGUGACAAGGUGCUUCUCUUAAAAAAGCAGUUUCAAUCGGCCCUUGGAGCCUUGCACCUGUAGCUAAGAUAUGUGUAGCCACUUCAAUUUUGUUUUCUGACUGGUUUUAAAUGUAUAAAUAUUCUCUACAUGCCUUGGUUAUGGACUAUUGGCUUUUAAGUUAUUGGAUAUGGUUUAAAAAAUGUAACAUUGAUAACAGAAAGUUGACAUAAAACUGGUAAAAUUUAAAAUAUGCAUAUUUCUGUUGAUACCUGUUCUGGUAUUAUACACGCUACUCUGAUGACUGGUGAAAAGGCUCGUAAUGCCAUUAGCCAUUGCUUAGAGGCAUGGGCAGCCUGGGGGAAAGCCUGAUAGUCUCAAGACAGACAACGGGCCUGCCUAUACUGCUAAGUCUUUUCAGGCAUUUUGCCAGACAAUGCAGGUCAAACAUACUACAGGAUUGCCAUACAAUCCCCAAGGUCAAGGAAUUGUGGAAAGGGUAUGUCGUACCUUAAAAGAGCUUAUACAAACACAAAAAGAGGGAAUUGCCAGCAGCCAAACACCAAAAGAACAACUUUCUUUAGCUCUUUUUACUCUAAAUUUCUUAAUUUUGGAUGUGCAUGGCCGCUCUGCCUCGGAUCACCAUGCUACUACUACACCUAUAACUAAUGCAGAAGUAAAGUGGAAGGAUGUCUUAACUGAUGAAUGGCGUGGCCCAGAUCCCGUGAUUUCGAGAUCUAGGGGAGCGAUUUGUGUUUUUCCGCAGAAUCAAGAAAAUCCAAUUUGGGUACCUGAGCGUUUGACUUGAAAAUUGCCUUCUGCUCUUCCUGAAGAUGAGACUACGAACCCUACUAUUACUACUGGGAAUGAACAAAGAAAUCUCGAAUUAUCUGAAAGGAAACUGGUCCAUGAAAGCAGAGCAACUAUCAAGACAAUUGCUGAUGCAGAUUGCUGUCCUCAACAGCACUAGGCUGGACCCCAUCACAGUUGAAGACUUUACCUCAUGGAUUACCAAUGCUUUCUCCCUUGUUAAGGAGUGGGCGGGCAUGUUUGUCCUGGGGAGCUAUUGUCCUCCUGGGAUGCGGAGUAGGUUUCUGGCUUAUUGGCUGUUUAAAAAGAGAACAUGCCAGACACAAAGUGGUUGUUUACCAGGCUAUGACCACCAUUAAAAAGGGUACUUCUCCCAACAUAUGGCUGGCCUCUUUGAAAGAUCAAGAGUUCGCCCUAGAUCAUUUUUGUCACAGUCAUGUGGAGUCAUUGUAUCCAGGGAUGGGCAACUUUCCUCGAGCUCGGACCAACCCAAGACACGGGGCCCGGUGGCGAUAGGGUAACUCUAUGACGGGUAAGGCCGAGUUUGGAUGAGAACGACGUAAGACAGGAGCAAUGACAAGAUUGACGUGACACCCAGAUCUAGACCAGUCAUUUUAUUAAACAAAAAAGGGGGAGAUGUAAAGAGCGGCGUGGCGAAACAAAGAUGGCGCCGACAUCCAGCCUUGUCUGGAUAUAAACUACUUACUGCGCAUGUGCAGGCUUGUCCCCUUGCUAGGGCUCCCUCUAGUGGUGAACAGCGGUACUGCACAUGUGCGGUUUAUGCACCAGGUGUCAGUUGACCGUUAAUAUGCUAAUGAGGUGAUUCAUUCUCUGCCAAUCCCUGGAGGACAAGUAGUGGGGUGAUCCAUGCCCCACCAAUCCCUGAGAGAUAAUUAGCAUACUGUUGUGUAUAAAAGUCGAGCGACUUUGCUGCUCGAAGUCCCUGUUCAGAAGAGCUGUAACACUGAGAAGAGCUGUAACACUAAGAAGAGCUGUAACACUGAGAAGAGCUGUAACACUGAGAAGAGCUGUAACACUGAGAAGAGCUGUAACACUAAGAAGAGCUGUAACACUAAGAAGAGCUGUAACACAGUAAAGGCUUGCUCGCAGAAGAAUCCUGUUGCCGCGAGUCGUUCUUGCUGGCGGGACAUUGGGCGCGCGACAAGUGGUGCCAAAACCCGGGAACCAACAUUGGGCGCGAGACAGCUAAUAUCCAAAAUAUACAAAGAACUCAAGAAGGUAGGCUCCAAAGAGCCUAUUAAAAAUGGGGUACAGAGCUAAAUAAAAUAUUCUCAGCUGAGGAUUAUCGAAUGGCCAAAAAGCACCUAAAGAAGUGUUCAACAUCCUUAGUCUUCCGGGAACUGCAAAUCAAAACAACCCUGAGAUUCCACCUCACACCAGUCAGAAUGUCUAAGAUUAAAAAACUCAGGUGACAGCAGAUGCUGGCAAGGAUGCGGAGAAAGAGGAACACUCCUCUACUGUUGGUAGGAUUGCAAACUGGUACAACCACUCUGGAAAUCAGUCUGGAGGUUCCUCAGAAAAUUGGACAUUGCACUACCUGAGGACCUAGCUAUACCUCUCUUGGACAUAUACCCAAAAGAUGGUUCAACAUACCACAAAGAUACAUGCUCCACUACGUUGAUAGCAGCCUUAUUUAUAAUAGCCAGAAGCUGAAAAGAACCCAGAUGCCCUUCAACAGAGGAAUGGAUUAAAAAAAUGUGGUACAUCUACACAAUGGAGUACUACUCAGCUAUCAAAAACAAUGGCUGCAUGAAAUUCAUAGGCAAAUGGAAUGAACUAGAAAAUAUCAUCCUGAGUGAGGUUACUCAAUCACAGAAAAACACACUUGGUAUACACUCAUUGAUAAGUAGAUAUUAGCCAAAAAGCUCAAAUUACCCAAGAUGCAAUCUACAGACCAAAGGAAGCUCAAGAAGAAGGAUGACCAAAAUGCAGAUGCUCCCAUUCCUUCUUAAAAGGGGGAAAUAUUCAUAAGAGGGGAUAUGGAAGCAAAGUUUAAAACAAUGACUAAUGACUCAAGGAAUGGCCAUUCAGAGCCUGACACACAUGUGACCCAUAUAUAUGUGUGUGUGUGUGUGUGUGUGUGUGUGUGUGUGUGUGUGUGUGUGUGUACAUA